UAAUACGUAGGGCGCAAGCGUUGUCCGGAAUUAUUGGGCGUAAAGAGCUCGUAGGUGGCUUGUUGCGUCUGCCGUGAAAGCCCGUGGCUUAACUGCGGGUCUGCGGUGGAUACGGGCAGGCUAGAGGCUGGUAGGGGCAAGCGGAAUUCCUGGUGUAGCGGUGAAAUGCGCAGAUAUCAGGAGGAACACCGGUGGCGAAGGCGGCUUGCUGGGCCAGUUCUGACGCUGAGGAGCGAAAGCGUGGGGAGCGAACAGGAUUAGAUACCCUGGUAGUCCACGCUGUAAACGUUGGGCGCUAGGUGUGGGGGUCUUCCAUGGUCUCUGUGCCGUAGCUAACGCAUUAAGCGCCCCGCCUGGGGAGUACGGCCGCAAGGCUA
rnacentral:rRNA from 1 species